ACUGCUCAGUAACACGUGGACAACCUGCCCUUAGGUUGGGUAUAAACCCGGGAAACUGGGUAUAAUACCCGAUAGGUCUCGAUUGCUGGAAUGCAUCGAGAUUUAAAGCUCCGGCGCCUAAGGAUGGGUCUGCGGCCUAUCAGGUAGUAGUGGGUGUAGCGUACCUACUAGCCUACGACGGGUACGGGUUGUGAGAGCAAGAGCCCGGAGAUGGAUUCUGAGACACGAAUCCAGGCCCUACGGGGUGCAGCAGGCGCGAAAACUUUACAAUGCUGGCAACAGCGAUAAGGGAACCUCGAGUGCCAGGUUACAAAUCUGGCUGUCGAGAUGCCUAAAAAGCAUUUCAUAGCAAGGGCCGGGCAAGACCGGUGCCAGCCGCCGCGGUAACACCGGCGGCUCGAGUGGUAACCGUUAUUAUUGGGUCUAAAGGGUCUGUAGCCGGCCGGAUAAGUCUCUUGAGAAAUCUGGCAGCUUAACUGUCAGGCUUUCAGGAGAUACUGUCUGGCUCGAGGCCGGGAGAGGUGAGAGGUACUUCAGGGGUAGGGGUGAAAUCUUGUAAUCCUUGAAGGACCACCAGUGGCGAAGGCGUCUCACCAGAACGGACCUGACGGCAAGGGACGAAAGCUAGGGGCACGAAACCGGAUUAGAUACCCGGGUAGUCCUAGCCGUAAACGAUACUCGCUAGGUGUCGGCCACGGUGCGACCGUUGUCGGUGCCGUAGGGAAGCCGUGAAGCGAGCCACCUGUGAAGUACGGCCGCAAGGCUGAAACUUAAAGGAAUUGGCGGGGGAGCAC
rnacentral:rRNA from 1 species